CCUACGGGAGGCUGCAGUCGAGAAUCAUUCACAAUGGGGGAAACACUGAUGGUGCGACGCCGCGUGGGGGAAUGAAGGUCUUCGGAUCGUAAACCCCUGUCAUGUGGGAGCAAAUGAAAAAGAUAGUACCACAAGAGGAAGAGAUGGCUAACUCUGUGCCAGUAGCCGCGGUAAUACAGAGGGCUCAAGCGUUGUUCGGCAGCACUGGGCGUAAAGCGUGCGUAGGCUGUUUCGUAAGUCGUGUGUGAAAGGCGCGGGCUCAACCCGCGGACGGCACAUGAUACUGGGAGACUAGAGUUAUAGAGGAGGAUGCGGAAUGCUCGGUGUAGCGGUGAAAUGCGUAGAUAUCGAGCGGAACACUCGUGGCGAAGGCGGGUUCCUGGACAUUAACUGACGCUGAGGCACGAAGGCCAGGGGAGCGAAAGGGAUUAGAUACCCGGGUAGUC
rnacentral:rRNA from 1 species